rnacentral:rRNA from 1 species
UAUAAUGGGUCAGCGACUUAUAUUCUGUAGCAAGGUUAACCGAAUAGGGGAGCCGGAGGGAAACCGAGUCUUAAUUGGGCGUUAAGUUGCAGGGUAUAGACCCGAAACCCGGUGAUCUAGCCAUGGGCAGGUUGAAGGUUGGGUAACACUAACUGGAGGACCGAACCGACUAAUGUUGAAAAAUUAGCGGAUGACCUGUGGCUGGGGGUGAAAGGCCAAUCAAACCGGGAGAUAGCUGGUUCUCCCCGAAAGCUAUUUAGGUAGCGCCUCGUGAAUUCAUCUCCGGGGGUAGAGCACUGUUUCGGCUAGGGGGCCAUCCCGGCUUACCAACCCGAUGCAAACUGCGAAUACCGGAGAAUGUUAUCACGGGAGACACACGGCGGGUGCUAACGUCCGUCGUGAAGAGGGAAACAACCCAGACCGCCAGCUAAGGUCCCAAAGUCAUGGUUAAGUGGGAAACGAUGUGGGAAGGCCCAGACAGCCAGGAUGUUGGCUUAGAAGCAGCCAUCAUUUAAAGAAAGCGUAAUAGCUCACUGGUCGAGUCGGCCUGCGCG